UGGGGAAUUUUGGACAAUGGGGGAAACCCUGAUCCAGCAACGCCGCGUGAAUGAAGAAGGCCUUCGGGUUGUAAAGUUCUUUUAUCUAGGAGCAAGCUGUAUGUGUGAAUAGCAUGUAUAGUUGAGAGUACUAGAGGAAUAAGCACCGGCUAACUACGUGCCAGCAGCCGCGGUAAUACGUAGGGUGCAAGCGUUAAUCGGAAUUACUGGGCGUAAAGAGUGCGCGGGCGGAUCUAUAAGUUAGAUGUGAAAUACCUGAGCUUAACUUGGGAGGUGCAUUUAAGACUGUAGGUCUAGAGUUAAUUAGAGGGGGGUAGAAUUCCAAGUGUAGCAGUGAAAUGCGUAGAGAUUUGGAGGAAUACCGAUGGCGAAGGCAGCCCCCUGGGAUAUAACUGACGCU
rnacentral:rRNA from 1 species